UUUACAGGCUUAACACAUGCAAGUCGAGGGGCAGCAUUUUAGUUUGCUUGCAAACUGAAGAUGGCGACCGGCGCACGGGUGAGUAACACGUAUCCAACCUGCCGAUAACUCCGGAAUAGCCUUUCGAAAGAAAGAUUAAUACCGGAUAGCAUACGAAUAUCGCAUGAUAUUUUUAUUAAAGAAUUUCGGUUAUCGAUGGGGAUGCGUUCCAUUAGUUUGUUGGCGGGGUAACGGCCCACCAAGACAACGAUGGAUAGGGGUUCUGAGAGGAAGGUCCCCCACAUUGGAACUGAGACACGGUCCAAACUCCUACGGGAGGCAGCAGUGAGGAAUAUUGGUCAAUGGGCGAGAGCCUGAACCAGCCAAGUAGCGUGAAGGAUGAAGGCUCUAUGGGUCGUAAACUUCUUUUAUAUGGGAAUAAAGUUUUCCACGUGUGGAAUUUUGUAUGUACCAUAUGAAUAAGGAUCGGCUAACUCCGUGCCAGCAGCCGCGGUAAUACGGAGGAUCCGAGCGUUAUCCGGAUUUAUUGGGUUUAAAGGGAGCGUAGGUGGAUUGUUAAGUCAGUUGUGAAAGUUUGCGGCUCAACCGUAAAAUUGCAGUUGAAACUGGCAGUCUUGAGUACAGUAGAGGUGGGCGGAAUUCGUGGUGUAGCGGUGAAAUGCUUAGAUAUCACGAAGAACUCCGAUUGCGAAGGCAGCUCACUAGACUGUCACUGACACUGAUGCUCGAAAGUGUGGGUAUCAAACAGGAUUAGAUACCCUGGUAGUCCACACAGUAAACGAUGAAUACUCGCUGUUUGCGAUAUACAGUAAGCGGCCAAGCGAAAGCAUUAAGUAUUCCACCUGGGGAGUCCGCCGGCAACGGUGAAACUCAAAGGAAUUGACGGGGGCCCGCACAAGCGGAGGAACAUGUGGUUUAAUUCGAUGAUACGCGAGGAACCUUACCCGGGCUUAAAUUGCAACAGAAUAUAUUGGAAACAGUAUAGCCGUAAGGCUGUUGUGAAGGUGCUGCAUGGUUGUCGUCAGCUCGUGCCGUGAGGUGUCGGCUUAAGUGCCAUAACGAGCGCAACCCUUAUCUUUAGUUACUAACAGGUGAUGCUGAGGACUCUAGAGAGACUGCCGUCGUAAGAUGUGAGGAAGGUGGGGAUGACGUCAAAUCAGCACGGCCCUUACGUCCGGGGCUACACACGUGUUACAAUGGGGGGUACAGAAGGCGGCUACCUGGUGACAGGAUGCUAAUCCCAAAAACCUCUCUCAGUUCGGAUCGAAGUCUGCAACCCGACUUCGUGAAGCUGGAUUCGCUAGUAAUCGCGCAUCAGCCAUGGCGCGGUGAAUACGUUCCCGGGCCUUGUACACACCGCCCGUCAAGCCAUGAAAGCCGGGGGUACCUGAAGUACGUAACCGCAAGGAGCGUCCUAGGGUAAAACUGGUAAUUGG
rnacentral:rRNA from 1 species